rnacentral:misc_RNA from 1 species
GAAAUGCGAUAAGUAAUGUGAAUUGCAGAAUACCGUGAAUCAUCGAAUCUUUGAACGCACAUUGCGCCCUCCGGUAUUCCGGGGGGCAUGCCUGUCCGAGCGUCAUUGCGAACCCCUCAAGCACGGCUUGUGUGAUGGGCCCUCCCGCGUCUUGGUCGUCAAGACGGGCCCGAAAAGCAGUGGCGGCUUCGCGGUUAUCCGAUCAGCCAGAGCGUAUGGGGACUUUCUCUCUGUCACACGCCCGCGGCGCGGACCGACGCCUGUCGACCUUUAUUCAUCUUUUUCUCGGUUGACCUCGGAUCAGGUAGGGAUACCCGCUGAACUUAAGC